AUUGAACGCUGGCGGCAGGCCUAACACAUGCAAGUCGAGCGGAGCGGCGGACGGGUGAGUAAUACCUAGGAAUCUGCCUGAUAGUGGGGGAUAACGUUCGGAAACGGACGCUAAUACCGCAUACUAUCAGAUGAGCCUAGGUCGGGUUAGCUAGUUGGUGAGGUAAUGGCUCACCAAGGCUACGAUCCGUAACUGGUCUGAGAGGAUGAUCAGUCACACGGGAACUGAGACACGGUCCAGACUCCUACGGGAGGCAGCAGUGGGGAAUAUUGGACAAUGGGCGAAAGCCUGAUCCAGCCAUGCCGCGUGUGUGAAGAAGGUCUUCGGAUUGUAAAGUUCUUUCGGUAUUGAGGCGUUAAAUACAGAAGAAGCACCGGCUAACUCCGUGCCAGCAGCCGCGGUAAUAC
rnacentral:rRNA from 1 species